AGAUAAAGAACUAGAUUUGCAGUCUGGCGAGGCACAUUAGCCCUCCAGAUGUCCGGUGGUGGGUAUCCAGAGACUGCGUGAGACUUGGUUUUUGCCUUCCCUCUCAAAGGUGCCAGUUUAGGCUGUAGUUUGUCCCUUUGGCAGCCAUCAUAAUCAGACUCCCAAAGAGUGGAGAACACCCAGUUUUCAGCUUGCCCUCCCAUAUAGACUGCCAGUCCUGCACAGGAAGGGCCUGUGAUUGUGGCAAGCCUGAUUUGGGCAUUCUUGGUUGCAGGGGCUGAAACUCAGUUCAACAGAAAAGCUGAACUGGUUUGCAUGCCCGAAUCCUGCUAAUGCCAGAUGAGUGUGUCCCCCAGGUCACAGGCCUUUAUCCAUGGCCCUGGGGAGACUUUGUUAGAUGAGCCUUUCCAGCCAACACUAUGAUCCCUCACUGAAACAACCCCUAAGAUUUGUAAUCCCGGAGAAACUCAUUCUUCCCAUCCCUGCCAUAACUCUGGAGAUCUGUGAUUGUUCUGCAUGGGUCACAUGUUCACCAUUUGGCUCACUAUGAACUGGACAGAGAUGGGUGACAUGGUUGGCCUGUCCCAUUAAAUAAAAGGCUGACCAGACCUUGGCUCUGGUGCCAAUGGUCCACUGUCGGGAAUGCCUUCCCCUAAA
rnacentral:lncRNA from 14 species